UACGUAGGGGGCAAGCGGUUGUCCGGAUUUAUUGGGCGUAAAGAGCGUGUAGGCGGCCAGGUAGGUCAGCUGUGAAAACUCGAGGCUCAACCUCGAGACGUCGGUUGAAACCACCUGGCUAGAGUCCGGAAGAGGAGAGUGGAAUUCCUGGUGGUAGCGGUGAAAUGCGCAGAUAUCAGGAAGAACACCCGUGGCGAAGGCGGCUCCUCUGGGACGGUACUGACGCUGAGACGCGAAAGCGUGGGGAGCGAACAGG
rnacentral:rRNA from 1 species